ACAAGAUUCGGACCGUCGGUCUACCGAGCAAUAUCACCCGCUCGGUGGAAGAUCUUUCCUUCGUCAU
rnacentral:pre_miRNA from 1 species